UAAUGAGACUGCCGGUGACAAACCGGAGGAAGGUGGGGAUGACGUCAAGUCCUCAUGGCCCUUAUGGGUAGGGCUUCACACGUCAUACAAUGGUACAUAAAGAGGGCCGCCAACCCGCGAGGGGGAGCUAAUCCCAGAAAGUGUAUCGUAGUCCGGAUUGUAGUCUGCAACUCGACUGCAUGAAGUUGGAAUCGCUAGUAAUCGCGGAUCAGCAUGUCGCGGUGAAUACGUUCCCGGGUCUUGUACACACCGCCCGUCACACCAUGGGAGCGGGUUUCACCAGAAGUAGGUAGCUUAACCGCAAGGAGGGCGCUUACCACGGUGGGAUUCGUGACUGGGGUGAAGUCGUAACAAG
rnacentral:ncRNA from 1 species